AACGAACGCUGGCGGCAUGCCUAACACAUGCAAGUCGAACGAGACCUUCGGGUCUAGUGGCGCAAGGGUGCGUAACGCGUGGGAACCUGCCCUUAGGUUCGGAAUAACUCCCCGAAAGGGGUGCUAAUACCGGAUAAUGUCUUCGGACCAAAGAUUUAUCGCCAUUGGAUGGGGCCGCGUUGGAUUAGCUAGUUGGUAGGGUAAAAGCCUACCAAGGCGACGAUCCAUAGCUGGGCUGAGAGGAGGCGCAGCCACAAUGGGACUGAGACACGGACCAGACUCGUACGGAGGGCAGCAGAGGGGAAUAUUAGACGAGGAACGAAAGCGUAAUGAAGCCGUGCGGGGUGAGAGAUGAAGGGGUUAGGGUUGCAAAGCUAGUUUAGACGAGGCGAUAAUGACAGUACCGGGAGAAUAAGCACCGGCUAACUACGUG
rnacentral:rRNA from 1 species